GGGCUUGUGGUUUAGUGGUAUAAUUUUCCCUUAGCAUGGGAAAGGUCCUGGGUUCGAGUAUGUUGUCCCU